CCUACGGGGGGCUGCAGUGAGGAAUAUUGGUCAAUGGACGAGAGUCUGAACCAGCCAAGUAGCGUGAAGGAUGACUGCCCUAUGGGUUGUAAACUUCUUUUAUAUGGGAAUAAAAUGUUCCACGUGUGGGAUUUUGUAUGUACCAUAUGAAUAAGGAUCGGCUAACUCCGUGCCAGCAGCCGCGGUAAUACGGAGGAUCCGAGCGUUAUCCGGAUUUAUUGGGUUUAAAGGGAGCGUAGGUGGAUUGUUAAGUCAGGUGUGAAAGUUUGCGGCUCAACCGUAAAAUUGCAGUUGAAACUGGCAGUCGUGAGUACAGUAGAGGUGGGCGGAAUUCGUGGUGUAGCGGUGAAAUGCUUAGAUAUCACGAAGAACUCCGAUUGCGAAGGCAGCUCACUGGACUGCAACUGACACUGAGGCUCGAAAGUGUGGGUAUCAAACAGGAUUAGAGACCCGUGUAGUC
rnacentral:rRNA from 1 species